rnacentral:rRNA from 1 species
UACGUAGGGUGCGAGCGUUGUCCGGAAUUAUUGGGCGUAAAGGGCUCGUAGGCGGUUUGUCGCGUCGGGAGUGAAAUCCACUGGCUUAACUGGUGGCUUGCUUUCGAUACGGGCAGACUGGAGGUAUGCAGGGGAGAACGGAAUUCCUGGUGUAGCGGUGAAAUGCGCAGAUAUCAGGAGGAACACCGGUGGCGAAGGCGGUUCUCUGGGCAUGCCCUGACGCUGAGGAGCGAAAGCCAGGGGAGCAAACGGG